GCUUUCUGGAGAUCCCAGAGUGCUUUCCGGAGAGGUGGGGGUGCCUGCAGCAGACUGCACCCCCAGGGCCAGCAUCAAAGGUGGCACCCACCAGGGGGGCCCCAAGUCCCUUGCAGGAACUCACAGGUGGCAGCCUCCUCUUCAUACACCAAGGAGAGGCUGCGGGCUCUCAGGACAUCUGGGGCCCCCUGCCCUCCACUUUCCAGGGCUCCCCAGCUCGGCUGAGCUGCGCCGUCCAGUGGAGCCCAUCCUGGGCACCCAGAGGGUGUGCAGCUCACAGACAGCCGUGCCCGCAGCUUCCUGGCCAGCACCUGCUGGGCCGGCUGACAGCAGGCGCCGCACACACCCACCGGCCUGCAGUCUGUGGGAGCGAGCCUCGCUCUGGGCUCAAACAGGACAGUGGGGAGGGUGUGUGUGUGGGGUGCCAUGCCCUGGUGUGCAGCUCCUGGCUGCUGCCAUGACUGUGGGAAUGAGGGGCACUUUUACAGACUUUACAGACCCUUCCUGCUGAUCCUACCAGCGCUGCCAGGCUCAAGGGGCCAGCAGGCCUGGUCAAGGCCCCAUGCCCAAGCUGCCAGGGAGAGGGAGGGGACAGGGGCCGGGCGGUCACACAGGCCCACUCAUGCUCAGGAGGGCCCCACCCUUGGUUUAAUGCUCUGCCCUUGCCGUCUUGAACUUCUUGCUUCUCUCUGAAUAGGAGCUGCACAUUUUAAUGUUGCACUAGGCCCCCAAUUCUGUAGCCAGUCCCGGAAGAGGGGGCCCAGGGGCCCGGCAGGUGAGCCCCUUCCUCCUGAGAUUCUCAGAUUUUAUGCAGAGGCUUCAGACACAGGCUCUCCAUGAUUAGAGAUCCGGGUGCCCCCCCACCCCCACUUCUGCAAACCUCCUUGAGUGCACAGCUGGGCUCAUGGGGGCUCACACACUCACUCGCACCCAUGCGUGCCCACGUGUGCAACAGCAGGUCACACCAAGGCACAAACUUCCUGCUCGGGGGACCUCAAAGUGCCACUCGAGCACACCCAGAAAGCAAAUAGGGCAGCACAAAGCUGGGGAGGGGGCAUCGGGGACAGAGGGAGAGAGCUCCUGCCUCCCCCAGUCUCCCAGGAAAGGAGGUAUCCCCCUCCCUGGCCCAGGAUCCCACUCAAGCCCUUUGCACCUUAUCCCAUUGAAUCCCUGCAGCUGCCCCUGAUGUAGGUAGGGUGUGUAUUAUACCCAUUUCCAGGAUGGAAAAACUGAGGUUCCAAGAAGAGAAGAAGUUGCUUGCUGGAACCAAGGCGGGCAGGCUCAGGAGCUCCAUGCCACGCAGUGGCUCCUGAAAUAGGACAAGCCUCCCUGCCCUCCUCUGUGCCUCUGGCAGGUGUAUCCCCUCUUCCAGGUCCCUGUCUGCAGGGUGCCUGUUCCUCAGGGGGCUGCUCAAGCUGGGUCCUCCCUCCGGGGCUCCACUCCCACCUCACCAUGGGCACAGGUGGAACCAGGGAAGCAGGGGUCAGUUUUUCCCAGGGUUCCCGGGCCGCCCCCACCCUAUAGCCCUUUGGCUGGCCUUGCCCUCGGAACUCACGGACCGGGCCCCAGGAAGGGCUGACGGGUGUGCCUGCUUUGACGGUGUUGGUGUUCUGGAGUCUCCGCGAGGAGCCUGGCCCCGAGGGCCGAGGGCACGCGGCCCAUCACCAGGCGGGCCCCAAGGAGUCGGAUGCUCCUGUCGUCCCUGCUGACGGACGAGGAAGCCAAGGCCCAGAGAAGGAAGGGGAUUCAGGACUCCGGGCUCUUCCUCCAACCCUGUGGGGACCUCAUCAGGCCAAUGCUCAUUGUUCACAAACGCGUUCACAAGCGUGUCCUGAGCUCGGCUCUGGGCCGGGCAUCAUCCCAGGCUUGGGGCAACCACAGUGAACCAGCUAAGAAAUGGCUUGUCCCCAAGAGAAACAUCCUGUCAAGUAAGGUACCCAGAGAAGGUCUCUGUGCAGAUGAUCUUUAAACUGAGGCCCAAAGACAACACAGAGUCAGUCCUGGGAGUAACAGAGGUGGUGUCACAGGCGGAGGAAAUAGCACGUGCAAAGGCCCUGAGGCAGGGAGAAGCAUGAUCAGGCCUGGGCCAGCCAGGAGGCCAGGGUGGUUGGGGCAGAAGGUGCAGUCACAGGUCACGAUCACAGGAGCUUCAAAGGUUCACGUCAGGAGGGGGGUGGGUUUUACCCCCGAGCAGUGGGAAGCUGUGUUUUAAGCAGAGAUCUAAUAUAAUCGCAUGUGCUACCGUGCAUGAGAGUCUGCGCUUGGCUAAGUGCUGUAUGUUCAUUUUUUCAUCUGAUCCCCCCACAUCCCUGUGAGGGGAGUGGAAUCCUUACCCCCAUUUUACAGAUGCAAGUUGAGGCUCUGAGAGCUGAAAUGACUCGCUGUGUCCUUAAUACGGAUGGGAUAGGAAUCCUGCCUUCCGUCUUAGCCGGGGCAGUACAGACCCUCCCACAUGCCCACCCGGCAAAGCAGCAGGGCCCGAGGGGGGGCCGACCCCGCCUCCUUCCACCUGCCAUCCCUCCCGCUGCCCCCUUGCAGAGCCGGGGACCCCGCCUGUUUCCCAGGAAAUCCCCCGGUGGCAGGCACAAUGGGAUGGUCGGUCACCUGUCCUCGGGGGCUCGGGGCCCCACUGGCUGCUUAGACUGGGGCGCAGACAUCCAGGGCCGCCGCGCCCGCACACCUGGCCCCACGCCCACCCCCGCCCAGACCAGGAAGGGGCCGCAGAGAGGAAAGCAAAUAGCAACCGGUGUGUUCGCAGGCCUCGGCCUCCCACCGGCGCCAGGGCAACACCACCUGCUCUCAGACAGCGGGCGGCAGGAGGACAAAAGCAGGGCUGGGGCUGCGGGCCAGGGACGCGGAGCGCGGGAGCAGGCCCGGGAACCGGCCUAGCAGGGCGGGCUGGUCCCGAGUCAAGGAGGCCUGCCUUGAACCCAGAGGUUCUGUGACCUCGAGCGUCUUCUGGGCCUCAGUCGGCCUGUUUAUUAAAUGGGA